AGAGUUUGAUCCUGGCUCAGAUUGAACGCUGGCGGCAUGCUUUACACAUGCAAGUCGAACGGCAGCACGGGAGCUUGCUCCUGGUGGCGAGUGGCGAACGGGUGAGUAAUGCAUCGGAACGUAUCCAAUAAUGGGGGAUAACGCAGCGAAAGCUGUGCUAAUACCGCAUACGCCCUGAGGGGGAAAGUGGGGGACCGCAAGGCCUCACGUUAAUGGAGCGGCCGAUGUCAGAUUAGCUAGUUGGUGAGGUAAGGGCUCACCAAGGCGACGAUCUGUAGCUGGUCUGAGAGGAUGAUCAGCCACACUGGAACUGAGACACGGUCCAGACUCCUACGGGAGGCAGCAGUGGGGAAUUUUGGACAAUGGGGGCAACCCUGAUCCAGCCAUGCCGCGUGAGUGAAGAAGGCCUUCGGG
rnacentral:rRNA from 1 species